AUUGAACGCUGGCGGCAUGCCUUACACAUGCAAGUCGAACGGCAGCACGGGAGCAAUCCUGGUGGCGAGUGGCGAACGGGUGAGUAAUAUAUCGGAACGUGCCCAGUCGUGGGGAUAACGUAGCGAAAGCUACGCUAAUACCGCAUACGAUCUAUGGAUGGAAGCGGGGGAUCGCAAGACCUCGCGCGAUUGGAGCGGCCGAUAUCAGAUUAGGUAGUUGGUGAGGUAAAGGCUCACCAAGCCGACGAUCUGUAGCUGGUCUGAGAGGACGACCAGCCACACUGGGACUGAGACACGGCCCAGACUCCUACGGGAGGCAGCAGUGGGGAAUUUUGGGACAAUGGGCGCAAGCCUGAUCCAGCAAUGCCGCGUGCAGGAUGAA
rnacentral:rRNA from 1 species